rnacentral:rRNA from 1 species
GACGAACGCUGGCGGCGUGCUUAACACAUGCAAGUCGAACGGAGUGGCCAACGGGUGAGUAACACGUGGGUGAUCUGCCUUGCACUUAGGGAUAAGAUUGGGAAAAUGGGUCUAAUACCGGAUAGUGCAAGAUGAGCUCGCGGCCUAUCAGCUUGUUGGUGGGGUAAUGGACUACCAAGGCGUCGACGGGUAGCCGGCCUGAUAGGGUGUAAGGGCAAAUUGGGACGGCGAUACGGCACAGACGCCUACGGGAGGCAGCAGUGGGGAAUAUUGCACAAUGGGGGGAAGCCUGAUGCAGGGAGGCCGCGUGGGGGAUGAAGGCCUUCGGGUUGUAAACUCCUUUCGACAGGGACGCGGUACCUGUAUAAGAAGCACCGGCUAACUACGUGCCAGCAGCCGCGGUAAUUC